rnacentral:tRNA from 1 species
AAUUUUAUAUAAAAGCGGGGCGGAUGUAGCCAAGUGGAUCAAGGCAGUGGAUUGUGAAUCCACCCAUGCGCG